UACAGAGGGUGCUAGCGUUGUUCGGAAUCAUUGGGCGUAAAGGGCGUGUAGGCGGUUUGUUAAGUCAUGUGUGAAAUCCCUCGGCUCAACCGGGGAACGACGCAUGAAACUGGCAGCUAGAGUACCAAAGAGGGGGUGGAAUUCCCGGUGUAGCGGUGGAAAUGCGUAGAUAUCGGGAGGAACACCUGUGGCGAAGGCGGCCCCCUGGUUG
rnacentral:rRNA from 1 species